AAAUGUUUGAUUUCAAUUUCAAAUAUCCCUGACAUUGAUGUCAACUGUCAACUCUGCCAUUUCGCCAGAUAUCAUAUAUCUUCCUUUAAAACCCACAGUAUGGGGAAAGGUUAGAUUAACACCAGGAAAGAAGAAUUGUAAGGGUAUUCGAGGGCAAUAAUUUAACAAAGCGAGAAAGGAUCGAUGCAGUAUUUACCAACCAAGCAUAGAUCUAGCUCAGACUAGUACAAGUAUGAGUACGAGUCCCACACAUUAACUUAUGUGUGGGAAAAAAUAGUCGGUCUGAAGACAAUGCUGCACUGGAUCUGGAUCGCUAGCUGCAUGCUGGAGGCUGCCGGCUGGAACUACUUUAAAGAUCAUCAUUUUGUCAAGGAAAGACAUGGGCAGAAGUCUGCAAAUAAGCACUUCCAGACUUGGACUUGGACUUGGAGUGAAUCAGUACUUUGGAUAUAUGCUACCUCUGUGUUUUUUUUUUUAUCCCACAGAAAGUUUGACAUGGAAUUGACGGGGGGGGGGGGUGCAAUAUAGUUUUAAUCCACACUUUUGUGAAAAAUGAGUUACAUCCAUUUCCAUCAGCUUUCUAGAUUGUUCUUCAUCUUCUGACAAUUAAAAAAAAAAGGAAAUCAACUGAUUAAUAGGGAAAUGAAUAAAUAUUCUUCUCCUGAAAACAAGCAAUUAUCUGAACCAAAAAAAAAAGUAACUCCCCCUUAAUCAAAAUGGCGUAGCUUUUUAAAGAAAAGGUUUUGAGCAAAAUAAAUUGGCAGGACUGUUCCUAUAUUUAUUGACUAACUUUUCUCCCGAAAUAAAAUUGCUCCAUUGAGUAAUGCAUGAGUGGACAAACAGGCAAAAUUUUCACUUUUCAAAAGUCACAGUGGUUAUGUUUUAUGCUGUUUUGACAGUACAUUUUAGCUUUUCUACACUAUUUUUAAAGUUUGCUCACCCAAGCAUGACACGAUUACAACCUCUUGAGUUCACACAACUUGUGAUGAAACAUUUUAGUUAAAAAAUUAUUAAUUUUGCUCACCCAACAAUAAUAUUGAAAAAAGUGUUGGGAUAGGUGUAAGGUGGUCAAGCAAUGUAUGAUAAACAACAACAACACAAAAACAUGCACCAGAAACUAAAUUCGCUAAAAUCUUGUUUCACAGAAUCCCCUAAAUGACCCUUACAAGUAUGACUUUAGAAAAGUGAGAGUGACAAUUUUCCCUUUAAUGUUUGCUCACUCAUGCAUGACUUGGUAAAUCAAUCAUAUCUUCACAGAAAAGUUAGUCAAUAAAUAUAGGAACACUCCUGCCAAGAUUAUUUUAUUAAAUACCUUGUCGUUAAAAAGUUACGCAAUUUGGAUUGAGGGGGAGUUACUUUUUGUGUUGU
rnacentral:lncRNA from 1 species